rnacentral:rRNA from 1 species
AUUGAACGCUGGCGGCAGGCCUAACACAUGCAAGUCGCACGAGUGGCGGACGGGUGAGUAAUGUCUGGGAAACUGCCUGAUGGAGGGGGAUAACUACUGGAAACGGUAGCUAAUACCGCAUACCAUCGGAUGUGCCCAGAUGGGAUUAGCUAGUUGGUGGGGUAAAGGCUCACCUAGGCGACGAUCCCUAGCUGGUCUGAGAGGAUGAUCAGCCACACUGGAACUGAGAAACGGCACAGACUAAGACGGGAGGCAGAAGUGGGGAAUAUUGCACAAUGGGCGCAAGACUGAUGCAGCCAUGCCGCGUGUAUGAAGAAGGCCUUAGGGUUGUAAAGUACGUUCAGCGGGGAGGCGUUACACGCAGAAGAAGCACCGGCUAACUCCGUGCCAGCAGCCGCGGUAAUAC